rnacentral:lncRNA from 1 species
GUUCCGGCGCCGCGGUGUGGAUUUCCGGCCGUUCUUCUUGGGCUGGCUGUCCACUUCGGGUCUGUUCGGGUUGGAGGGCGGUGGGAUUGUUGCGCUGUUUUUCAUUCAGUUCCCUCAGGAUCUUAUUCACAACACCUGGGUUGUAACCAUGGUCUCUGGCUAUUCGUUUUAUGUUUUCGAUUUCGGCGUUAAAAUCCUCGACUUCAGUGCAGUGGCUCUUAGCCCUGGUUAUUAGUGAGUUUAUUGCAGAUCGUUUGUAUCUCCACUUAUCAUUUGACCAACUAGGUACUAUUAAUGUCGUAGUUGUUGGCUUCCGGUACACUUUGGUGGCAAGCCUGGCUCCUUUGACCUGCAAAUUCUACAUCAAGGAAAUGGACUUGGGUGUCACUAUGCUGGUCCA